UUAAGCGACUAAGCGUACACGGUGGAUGCCCUGGCAGUCAGAGGCGAUGAAGGACGUGCUAAUCUGCGAUAAGCGUCGGUAAGGUGAUAUGAACCGUUAUAACCGGCGAUUUCCGAAUGGGGAAACCCAGUGUGUUUCGACACACUAUCAUUAACUGAAUCCAUAGGUUAAUGAGGCGAACCGGGGGAACUGAAACAUCUAAGUACCCCGAGGAAAAGAAAUCAACCGAGAUUCCCCCAGUAGCGGCGAGCGAACGGGGAGGAGCCCAGAGCCUGAAUCAGUGUGUGUGUUAGUGGAAGCGUCUGGAAAGGCGCGCGAUACAGGGUGACAGCCCCGUACACAAAAAUGCACAUGCUGUGAGCUCGAUGAGUAGGGCGGGACACGUGGUAUCCUGUCUGAAUAUGGGGGGACCAUCCUCCAAGGCUAAAUACUCCUGACUGACCGAUAGUGAACCAGUACCGUGAGGGAAAGGCGAAAAGAACCCCGGCGAGGGGAGUGAAAAAGAACCUGAAACCGUGUACGUACAAGCAGUGGGAGCACGCUUAGGCGUGUGACUGCGUACCUUUUGUAUAAUGGGUCAGCGACUUAUAUUCUGUAGCAAGGUUAACCGAAUAGGGGAGCCGAAGGGAAACCGAGUCUUAACUGGGCGUUAAGUUGCAGGGUAUAGACCCGAAACCCGGUGAUCUAGCCAUGGGCAGGUUGAAGGUUGGGUAACACUAACUGGAGGACCGAACCGACUAAUGUUGAAAAAUUAGCGGAUGACUUGUGGCUGGGGGUGAAAGGCCAAUCAAACCGGGAGAUAGCUGGUUCUCCCCGAAAGCUAUUUAGGUAGCGCCUCGUGUAUUCAUCUCCGGGGGUAGAGCACUGUUUCGGCAAGGGGGUCAUCCCGACUUACCAACCCGAUGCAAACUGCGAAUACCGGAGAAUGUUAUCACGGGAGACACACGGCGGGUGCUAACGUCCGUCGUGAAGAGGGAAACAACCCAGACCGCCAGCUAAGGUCCCAAAGUCAUGGUUAAGUGGGAAACGAUGUGGGAAGGCCCAGACAGCCAGGAUGUUGGCUUAGAAGCAGCCAUCAUUUAAAGAAAGCGUAAUAGCUCACUGGUCGAGUCGGCCUGCGCGGAAGAUGUAACGGGGCUAAACCAUGCACCGAAGCUGCGGCAGCGACGCUUAUGCGUUGUUGGGUAGGGGAGCGUUCUGUAAGCCUGUGAAGGUGUGCUGUGAGGCAUGCUGGAGGUAUCAGAAGUGCGAAUGCUGACAUAAGUAACGAUAAAGCGGGUGAAAAGCCCGCUCGCCGGAAGACCAAGGGUUCCUGUCCAACGUUAAUCGGGGCAGGGUGAGUCGACCCCUAAGGCGAGGCCGAAAGGCGUAGUCGAUGGGAAACAGGUUAAUAUUCCUGUACUUGGUGUUACUGCGAAGGGGGGACGGAGAAGGCUAUGUUGGCCGGGCGACGGUUGUCCCGGUUUAAGCGUGUAGGCUGGUUUUCCAGGCAAAUCCGGAAAAUCAAGGCUGAGGCGUGAUGACGAGGCACUACGGUGCUGAAGCAACAAAUGCCCUGCUUCCAGGAAAAGCCUCUAAGCAUCAGGUAACAUCAAAUCGUACCCCAAACCGACACAGGUGGUCAGGUAGAGAAUACCAAGGCGCUUGAGAGAACUCGGGUGAAGGAACUAGGCAAAAUGGUGCCGUAACUUCGGGAGAAGGCACGCUGAUAUGUAGGUGAAGCGACUUGCUCGUGGAGCUGAAAUCAGUCGAAGAUACCAGCUGGCUGCAACUGUUUAUUAAAAACACAGCACUGUGCAAACACGAAAGUGGACGUAUACGGUGUGACGCCUGCCCGGUGCCGGAAGGUUAAUUGAUGGGGUCAGCGCAAGCGAAGCUCUUGAUCGAAGCCCCGGUAAACGGCGGCCGUAACUAUAACGGUCCUAAGGUAGCGAAAUUCCUUGUCGGGUAAGUUCCGACCUGCACGAAUGGCGUAAUGAUGGCCAGGCUGUCUCCACCCGAGACUCAGUGAAAUUGAACUCGCUGUGAAGAUGCAGUGUACCCGCGGCAAGACGGAAAGACCCCGUGAACCUUUACUAUAGCUUGACACUGAACAUUGAGCCUUGAUGUGUAGGAUAGGUGGGAGGCUUUGAAGUGUGGACGCCAGUCUGCAUGGAGCCGACCUUGAAAUACCACCCUUUAAUGUUUGAUGUUCUAACGUUGACCCGUAAUCCGGGUUGCGGACAGUGUCUGGUGGGUAGUUUGACUGGGGCGGUCUCCUCCUAAAGAGUAACGGAGGAGCACGAAGGUUGGCUAAUCCUGGUCGGACAUCAGGAGGUUAGUGCAAUGGCAUAAGCCAGCUUGACUGCGAGCGUGACGGCGCGAGCAGGUGCGAAAGCAGGUCAUAGUGAUCCGGUGGUUCUGAAUGGAAGGGCCAUCGCUCAACGGAUAAAAGGUACUCCGGGGAUAACAGGCUGAUACCGCCCAAGAGUUCAUAUCGACGGCGGUGUUUGGCACCUCGAUGUCGGCUCAUCACAUCCUGGGGCUGAAGUAGGUCCCAAGGGUAUGGCUGUUCGCCAUUUAAAGUGGUACGCGAGCUGGGUUUAGAACGUCGUGAGACAGUUCGGUCCCUAUCUGCCGUGGGCGCUGGAGAACUGAGGGGGGCUGCUCCUAGUACGAGAGGACCGGAGUGGACGCAUCACUGGUGUUCGGGUUGUCAUGCCAAUGGCACUGCCCGGUAGCUAAAUGCGGAAGAGAUAAGUGCUGAAAGCAUCUAAGCACGAAACUUGCCCCGAGAUGAGUUCUCCCUGACUCCUUGAGAGUCCUGAAGGAACGUUGAAGACGACGACGUUGAUAGGCCGGGUGUGUAAGCGCAGCGAUGCGUUGAGCUAACCGGUACUAAUGAACCGUGAGGCUUAACCUU
rnacentral:rRNA from 2 species